CCUGGUUGACCCUGCCAGUAGUCAUAUGCUUGUCUCAGAGAUUAAGCCAUGCAUGUCUAAGUACAUACCUUUAAACGGUGAAACCGCGGAUGGCUCAUUAAAUCAGCUAUGGUUCCUUGGACCGUACAUACUAUAUGGAUAACUGUGGUAGUUCUAGAGCUAAUACAUGCCACUAUGUCCUGACCCGUGAGGGAAUGGGUGGAUGUACUAGAACAGAACCAACCAGGGGCGACUUCGGUCGUCCCUGUUGCAUUCUGUGAUGACUGUGGAUAACUUCACUGAUCGCAGUCGGCCUUGUGUCGGCGACGGAUCUUUCAAAUGUCUGCCUAUCAAUUUUCGACGGUAGGUGACCUGCCUACCAUGGUGCUAACGGGUAACGGGGAAUCAGGGUUCGAUUCCGGAGAGGGAGCCUGAGAAACGGCUACCACUUCCAAGGAAGGCAGCAGACACGCAAAUUACCCAAUCCCGGCACGAGGAGGUAGUGACGAAAAAUACGGAUACGGGACUCACUAGAGGCUCCGUAAUUCGAAUGAGUACAAUUUAAAUCCUUUAACGAGGAUCAACUGGAGGGCAAGUCUAGUGCCAGCAGCCGCGGUAACUCCAGCUCCAGAAGCGUAUAUUAAAGUUGUUGCAACUAAAAAGCUCGUAGUUGGAUCUGGGUCGCAUGGCUACAUGCCGUCGCUCGUGGGUCUGGUCUGGUUACUGCCGGGAUGAGCUUGCGAGUCGGUCCCGCGAUUGUGCUUCCUUUCUGCUUUGUCUGUUUACACCUCUAGGACCACUUCUUGCUGACAUUUUCAUUGCAAAACUGGAAACUCAAGCAAUACGCAGAACAGUAAGUCGAUUGGACCACUACUACCGAUAAGUGGAUGAUAUAUUUUGCAUAAGAGAUGCACAAACCAAUUUAGAUGAUAUAUCAGGAGAGUUCAACACUACGCAUUCCGCAAUCAGGUUCACCACCGAGAUGGAAGAAGGAAAUUGCCUACCGUUUCUUGAUGUACACUUAACCAGACGACCUGAUGGCUCGAUCCAGAGGAAGGUGUAUCGGAAAGCGACCUGGAAUGGCCAGUACACAAACUUUCACAGUUUUGUGCCACUUGGUUACAAACGUAAUCUGUACAGGGCGAAACAUAUCUGCACUGCAGAUACUCUGGAGGCCGAGCUAUCAAACAUAAGGAAGACGCUACUUGGCAACGGUUAUCCUGAGAAAUUUAUCCAAAGAAACUGGACUGAACGGAUGAAACCAGUGAGAAUCACACAGGCAGAAAAGAAAGUAUUAUUCAUCCGACUCCCCUUCAAGAGAGAUGUCGCAGCCGAUAGAGUCUGUAAACUUUUGAGUGCCACGGUUGAGUCCACCUUCAACGCUACCAACAUCAGAUGCGUGUUUUUCACGUCACCAAUAAUC
rnacentral:rRNA from 1 species